ensembl:snRNA U2 U2 spliceosomal RNA
AUCGCUUCUCGGCCUUUUGGCUAAGAUCAAGUGUAGUAUCUGUUCUUAUCAGUUUAAUAUCUGAUACGUCCCCUACCCGGGGACCAUAUAUUAAAUAGAUUUUUGGAACAGGGAGUAAAAUCUAAAAUCUGAAAACAUUCAUGGAAUACAUAGAAAACAGUAUCACAGAGUCACAAAUAUUUUUAGAACUUUA